rnacentral:rRNA from 1 species
CCUACGGGUGGCAGCAGUGGGGAAUAUUGCACAAUGGGGGAAACCCUGAUGCAGCGACGCCGCGUGAGUGAAGAAGUAAUUCGUUAUGGAAAGCUCUAUCAGCAGGGAAGAAAAUGACGGUACCUGAGGAAGAAGCCCCGGCUAACUACGUGCCAGCAGCCGCGGUAAUACGUAGGGGGCAAGCGUUAUCCGGAUUUACUGGGGGUAAAGGGAGCGUAGACGGCAGUGCAAGUCUGGAGUGAAAGGCGGGGGCUCAACCCCCGGACUGCUCUGGAAACUGUACGGCUGGAGUGCAGGAGAGGUAAGUGGAAUUCCUAGUGUAGCGGUGAAAUGCGUAGAUAUUAGGAGGAACACCAGUAGCGAAGGCGGCUUACUGGACUGUAACUGACGUUGAGGCUCGAAAGCGUGGGGAGCAAACAGGAUUAGAUACCCGUGUAGUC